rnacentral:misc_RNA from 1 species
AAGUCGUAACAAGGUUUCCGUAGGUGAACCUGCGGAAGGAUCAUUAACACGUAUCCAACGUUAAAAACCCCGUGCAUAUUAACCCUGCUCUCUUCGGCCUUGAUAAGCAAUCUCUGGUAAAUCACACAGAACAGUUUGAUUCAGAGACUUCUUUGAAGACGUCGGGGAUCGAGCGGUAGAGCAAAUAGACUUGGUUUCCGAAAGGAUAACUGAUACUUACUCAGAUCGUUGGCCCUCACGGUCAACGGUCUCUGAAGUCGGGCUUGCAAACUACAGGCCCACAAAACGAACAACUGUUAACAAUGGAUAUCUUGGUUCUC